AUAUCAACGUAUCUUACCCGUGGUAAACCUUUUGCCGCUGGCAAAGACGAUGUGAUUUAGAUAUGGUAAAGAAAGUAUUUCGUCCUAAUUCUAUACCUGUUUUCCAAUAUGUUUUGUAACAAAAAGAUCAUUCAAAAUUGAAUGGCACAGCUUUCUUGGUUAGCUUAUUCUAGCAAAGAAGAUAAAACUUACUGUCUUCAUUGUACUUUGGUAGGCGCCAGUAUUCGAAAAAGUCUGGAAUAUUAAAUUUAGUUUUCAAGCCUCAUCAAAGUGGGGUUAUUUAUCACUAGAUAUCAGUAUUGAUAUUCAAGAAGUCUUGAUAUUCAAGAAGUGAGACCUAGAUUGUGUGACGUACAGAUUUACUGGAACAAUUAUCCAACAAAUACAGUUUGUGAUUAUUUUAAACAUACCAUUACUUCUCCAUUAAUUGAACAUCCUAUUAAUAUGCUAGAUAAUAGGUUUCCAGAAAAUGAUAUGUUUGCUUAUAAAGGUCUAGCAGCAGUUCCUUCAACUGUACUGUACAGAAUACAAGUUAAGAAACCAUGGAGAUCUAAUUUUUAUGAAUUUUUAAUUUUAUAUUCAUCUGAUAUGCCUCAUUUUACUUCAAUACAUGCUAAGUUAGAUUUAUGAGAACAAUUUUUCAAAACCAGUCAAAUAUUUCUUGUUGUUGCUGGUACUUUAAAGGUCAUUGACAUGAGAGGUUUUCCAAAUAUAAGGACAUCGUUUAUAUUAUUAGAAACAAUUCCAUUAACAACUUGUGAAUGUGAAAAAAUUAUUUCAGUUAUACAUAGGCUAAAAACACAAUCUAGAAAUAAUGUGAUUGAAUUUCGCUUUAACUCUUUAGAUUUAAUGUCCAUAUAUCAAGAAAUUUUUCAAGAUGUUAAAAGAGUCAUUUGCAUUUUUUCAAAAUCAGAAAAGGAAAGAAUUCAAAAAUGGAGGGUUAACCGUAGACAAAUUACUGUAUACAGAUGAAGAGCAAAGCCAUUUGGAUUACCUUCUCGUGCACUUUUUAAAGUUAAUUAAGCUUAAAAUUACAUUUAAUUUAUGAACGAAAUUGUGAAUUGAUGAACAAAAUAGCUUAGAUAACAUUUGUAAAAAUUUCUGUUAGAAAUAUACUACAAAGCAAAU